rnacentral:ncRNA from 1 species
GAGAAGUUUUAUUCUUGCUUUGUUAUUCAUUUUGACUUUAUUAUACAUGUGAGAUUUUGCGGUUGGUUAUAUUUUCUGGGAGGAUGUAAAAUGUGUUUGUUGCAGUAUGAAAUAUUAUAAAUUUAUGUAGGUUUGAUUUAGUGAUUGUGUAUAAUAUUGAUUAAAUAUGUGCCAGCAGUCGCGGUUAUACAUUAGAUGUGAGUGAAUAUUUUUGGUUGAUAGUAAGUAAUUUGUUGUGGGAUGAUUUUGAUUAUUGUUUGGUAGAAUAUUAAUUUUUGUUUAUUUUUAAUUAAAAGUGUGAGGCUAUGAAAUCUAAAAUAUUUAAACUAGGAUUAGAUACCCUAUUAUUUUAGACGUAAAUAUAAUGGCUUGAGUAGUAAUAGGUAUGGUCUUGAAACUCAAAGAAUUUGGCGGUAUUUUAGUCUAUUUAGAGGAAUCUGUUUCGUGAUCGAUAAUCCGCGUUGGAUCUUACUUAAUUUGUUAUAGCAUGUAUAUCGCUGUUGAUAAAUGUCUUUUUAGGGUUAAUUUUUUUAAUGUUUUAUUGGAUGGUUAAUCAAGUCAAGGUGCAGCUUAUAAUUAAGUGGUAAUGGAUUACAUUAUUUUUGAAUACACGAAUUAAUUAUUGUGAUAAUAUUAUGAAGGUGGAUUUAAUAGUAAUUUUGUGAAGAUUGUCAAAAUGAUUAUGGCUCUAGAAUAUGCACACAUCGCCCGUCGCUCUCAUUGUAAGUUGAGAUAAGUCGUAACAUAGUAGUUGUACUGGAAAGUGUAGCUAGAAUUAU